GGGCAAUUAUCCCUAAAAAAAAUUAAAAUACACAGGAGUUAUUUGGUAAUUUAACCUUCUCAUUUUAUUUGUUUGCACCCACCGACCAAUGUUCACGCAAUCGGUAAAUGGCGAGCCCAGGGUUUCGCUUCGUUUGCUCCUGGCUCCUCUGCGUUUGAAGCUCGAAGGUCGAACCGUCGAAGGUCGAAAACUCAUCUUCUUCUUACCUUACCUUCUUCCAACUAACAAUAGAUGGAUCGGUAUUUGAAAUGGAAGGAACGUGUUGAGAUUCAUAUUAAUAAUCUUCCUAUGGACCCUGCGUUUCGACCUUCAAUCUGGAGUUAUGAUGUAAAUAAAAGAGACAGAGUUCAACGAGCAUAUUUGCUGAAGGGAUCUUAUCAACCAGUAAAUCAUAAUUUUCACCAAACAAUAAUAAGAUGUUGCUCGGAGAUUUAAUUCUAAAUUGUUUGAAGAAUAGCUGGUUGGAGUAUAGUGUACACAAAUAUCCUGCAUUUUGUUUGUACUGUUAUCUAUUCAAACCUCAAGAACAUACAAAUACAA